GGACAGGCAGAAGCCUCAAGCUGUGGCCAUCUGGGCAGAGGGAUCCUCCUCCUGGCAUCACUGCUGAGAAGUCCUGGACAGAAGCAUCCAGAAGAAGCCAGCAGCACUACAGGCAGAGAUUGCCUCUUUGCCAGGAGAAAAAGGACAGGCAGAAGUCUUAAGCUGUGGCCAACUGGGCAGAGGGAUCCUCCUCCUGGCAUCACUGUUGGCCAAACUCGAUGAUGGGAGCCCAGAGCACAUCCAGUAGCCCCAGGCGAGAUGCAUGCCCCAACUACCUGCAGAACUCCUCAACAUCUCCUUCAAACUCAGUAUCCACUGAGGGAAACACAGUCCAGAAAGGAUCUUCAGUGCCAUCUAACAGGUGGAGAUGACCCAUUUGACUGAAGAAACACUCAUCCACAAGUGCAUCCACCAAACUUCAGCACAGGUGAGCAGGCUCUUUGCUGUGACUUCUGGAUUCUCAGCUUCUGACUCAAUUUUAGCUUCUUGACUUCAGAGUCCUGGAGAGCUGCGAAGACCACUCUUCUUUUCAAUGCUUGCUUCUCUCUCUUGCUUUUUCAUGCUCUGGACUAGUAAUAAAGCAGGAAAGUGCUUCUAAGCCUGGCUACAAAACGCCAUCAUAUCAGACAAGCCUUCUUCUAAUGCACACCAGUCAUCUGUGGGUGGCUUUGUGGUGGAGACUGAGCCUAGGAUGCUAAGACUGCAAGCAGCCCAGUAAUGAGUGCACAUUCCUGGAAAACAAACCUCCUUGCUUUUGUAUAUUCUGAACUGCAUGAGGACUGAAAGGAGGUCCAAUCCUGUGCUGGGGAAAGCUGAGGGUCUGAUGCAGAGCCUGUUUAUAUCGGGAAAACAGUUGCUGCUGACCGGAGUGAGGUUUUGGGUAGCAGAUAGGUGAAUUCUGCUGCUGGGAUAGGCAGGUUUUGCUGGUGCCUUUGACACUGGCAGUUAACUGGAGUUAUGGGUGUGAAACCAUACUACUCACUUCUGCUUUCUGCCUGCAUGUUCAGUGUGAUGCAUAUAUGGGUUGGGGUUUUGCAAUCAGUGUAUUUCUACAUCAAUUUUGGGUUAUUUCUCUGAUUUUUGAGGCAUGAAUGGGAUAUCAUUUCUGGGCAAAGCAUGAUGUAGUGUAUGGAGGAAGAAAAAUCCAAGAAAAAUAGUAUCUGAAUUGUUUGUUUUACAAGCAAGCACAUGUAGGGGUUUAUUAUUUCUGAAGGCUCUCUUGUCAAUUGGACAUUGAACAAUCUUGACAUGUGUUGCAAGUUAUUGUCCUCCAGAGUCAUUUCACAAAGUUUGGAGUUUGUUUUCUUUAAAAUCCACAAAUAAAGCUCAAAAUUAUCUCCCUGUCUCCAGAGAGGUGCAUGGGAAGCACUUGGGAAAAUACCUCAGACUCCAAGAAGGUGGAGAUGUUCAGCAGAAGUGAGUGAGUGAGUCAUCUCUGCCCUACCAUGGCUUGAGUGAUGAAACUCCCUAUUCACCCUGAGAGAGAACCCCACUGAGGUCCAGAAGAGAUGAGGUAAUGAUCAUUUCAUUAAAACAAAAAUCAAAGAUGGACUGCACAUGCUGACCUGCAACUCCAAACCUUCUGCACCAUCAUCCUGGGAUGCAUCAAGGAUCCUUGUGUUGAUGUUCACAGGUUUGCACAUCGUUGAUAACUCCCCUACUUGCUACUAGGAGCUGGGAAGGCUGCAGCCAAAUCAGCUUUUGCUUUCAGCCUGUCUGCAUUUAUCAGAGAAGAAAUAGUGUCUGUUUGUUUAGGUGAGAUAUUAGUCUGCCCCUGGAGCUCCAGGUCACUGUAAAUGUAACACAAGUCUUAUUUCCUGUUAGGAAAGUGAGAAAAAAUACACCUGUGAAUUGUCUCUGUUCUGCCAAGUGUCAGAGAAGAUUCAAUUUGGGGGAGAACAUAAAUGUAGAUAUGGUAGUUUGCUCUUUGUCUUUGGGCUGCACUUCUCCCUAACCUAACCUGCUGUGUGA